GAUCUAGCCAUGUCCGUCUGUCUCUCUUUGCGCAUAUGCGACUGUGGAAAGGAAUCGGACAGUUUUUCCGUCUCGUCUACCAUACUAACAAAUUCAGAAAUGUUACUUGAGUGCCUCAAGUAGCUACGUUGAUCGAACACCAGUACUUCCCCGUCUAAGACCGGAAUGUAAUUGGUAUGCGAGAA